UCCCUCAUAGCUCAGUCGGUAAAGAAUCUGCCUACAAUGCAGGAGACCCGGGUUCGAUUCCUGGGUUGGGAA
rnacentral:tRNA from 1 species